GGCUUUAAGUAAUGCAUUUCCUGGGAACGACAGUUGUGACAGAAGAGAAUGCUGGAACCCGUAGCAAGAUUCCUGUCUGAGAUGGAAAGAUGUCUCACUAUCAUUUUAUCAAGUGCUGUUGCUUUCAGCUAUGUAACGUUUUUCGAUCCCAUGAGAUGGAAAUCGACCAGUGCUUGCUAGAGUCCCUUCCCCUUGGCCAACGGCAGCGUCUAGUGAAGCGCAUGCGCUGUGAGCAAAUCAAAGCCUACUAUGAGCGCGAGAAGGCUUUUCAGAAGCAGGAAGGGUUCCUGAAAAGGCUGAAGCAUGCGAAGAAUCCGAAAGUUCACUUCAACCUCACGGACAUGCUACAGGACGCGAUUAUCCACCACAAUGACAAAGAAGUGCUUCGGCUCCUGAAGGAGGGGGCAGACCCCCACACCCUCGUCUCCUCGGGAGGGUCCCUGCUCCAUCUGUGUGCUCGGUAUGAUAAUGCCUUCAUUGCAGAAAUUCUGAUUGACAGAGGAGUCAACGUCAACCACCAGGAUGAAGACUUCUGGACGCCCAUGCACAUUGCCUGUGCCUGCGAUAACCCUGAUAUUGUCCUGCUUCUUGUAUUAGCUGGAGCCAAUGUCCUUCUCCAGGAUGUGAAUGGAAAUAUCCCAUUAGAUUAUGCUGUAGAAGGGACAGAAUCCAGCUCUAUCCUGUUGACCUAUCUGGAUGAAAAUGGAGUGGAUUUGACCUCACUGCGCCAGAUGAAGCUUCAGAGACCAAUGAGUAUGUUAACAGAUGUCAAACACUUCUUAUCAUCUGGAGGAAAUGUCAAUGAGAAAAACGAUGAAGGAGUAACCCUGUUACACAUGGCGUGUGCGAGUGGCUACAAGGAGGUGGUGUCUCUUAUCCUGGAACAUGGUGGAGACCUCAACAUAGUAGAUGAUCAGUACUGGACUCCCCUCCACUUGGCAGCCAAAUAUGGCCAGACAAACCUGGUGAAACUUCUCCUGAUGCAUCAGGCAAACCCACACCUCGUGAACUGUAAUGAGGAGAAGGCGUCAGAUAUUGCUGCCUCUGAGUUUAUUGAGGAAAUGCUGCUGAAAGCCGAAAUUGCCUGGGAAGAAAAAAUGAGAGAGCCUUUAUCUGCUUCUACCUUAGCUCAAGAAGAGCCCUAUGAAGAGAUCAUUCACGAUCUUCCUGUACUGUCGAGUAAGCUCAGUCCCCUGGUGUUACCAAUUGCCAAGCAAGACAGUUUGUUGGAAAAAGACAUUAUGUUCAAAGAUGCAACAAAAGGUCUGUGUAAGCAGCAGUCUCAGGACAGCAUCCCUGAAAACCCCACGAUGAGUGGUUCCACCAAACCCGAGCAGGUCAAGCUAAUGCCUCCUGCCCCAAACGAUGACCUGGCAACGCUCAGCGAGCUCAAUGACGGCAGCCUGCUCUAUGAGAUUCAGAAGCGCUUUGGGAACAAUCAGAUCUAUACAUUCAUUGGAGACAUUCUUUUGCUUGUUAACCCAUACAAGGAGCUUCCAAUUUAUUCUUCCAUGGUGUCCCAGCUGUAUUUCAGCUCCUCAGGGAAGCUGUGUUCCUCGCUGCCUCCUCACCUCUUCUCGUGUGUGGAGAGAGCCUUUCACCAGCUCUUCCGGCAACAGCGGCCUCAGUGUUUCAUCCUCAGUGGAGAAAGGGGAUCAGGAAAGUCUGAAGCCAGCAAACAAAUCAUAAGACACCUCACCUGCAGGGCUGGCGCCAGCAGGGCCACACUGGAUUCCAGAUUCAAACAUGUCAUGUGCAUCUUAGAAGCCUUUGGACACGCCAAGACCACACUUAAUGAUUUGUCCAGUUGCUUCAUCAAGUAUUUUGAACUGCAGUUCUGUGAGAGGAAACAACAGCUAACCGGAGCCAGAAUUUAUACAUAUUUGCUAGAGAAAUCCAGACUUGUUUCACAACCUCUUGGCCAGAGCAAUUUUCUCAUUUUCUACUUGUUGAUGGAUGGGUUAUCUGCUGAAGAAAAAUAUGGACUUCAUCUUAAUAAUUUAUGUGCACACCGGUAUUUGAACCAGACCAUACAGGACGAUGCAUCCACAGGGGAGCGUUCUCUGAACAGGGAGAAAUUGGCUGUUUUGAAACAAGCCCUGAAUGUAGUUGGCUUCAGCAGCUUGGAGGUGGAGAAUCUGUUCGUAAUUCUAGCAGCAAUAUUGCACCUUGGAGACAUUCGGUUUACUGCCCUGAAUGAGGGGAACUCCGCCUUCGUUUCUGACCUCCAGCUCCUGGAACAAGUGGCUGGAAUGUUACAAGUAUCAACAGAUGAAUUGGCAUCUGCCUUAACAACUGAUAUUCAAUAUUUUAAAGGGGAUAUGAUAAUACGACGACAUACCAUACAGAUUGCUGAGUUUUUCCGAGACCUCUUGGCCAAGUCCCUGUACAGUCGUUUGUUUAGCUUUUUGGUGAAUACCAUGAAUUCUUGCCUCCACAGUCAAGAUGAACAGAAAAGCAUGCAGACAUUGGAUAUUGGAAUAUUGGACAUUUUUGGUUUUGAAGAGUUUCAAAAGAAUGAAUUUGAACAACUUUGUGUCAACAUGACCAAUGAGAAGAUGCACCACUACAUCAAUGAAGUGCUUUUUCUCCACGAGCAAGUGGAAUGUGUACAAGAGGGAGUUACCAUGGAAACAGCAUAUUCUCCUGGUAACCAGAAUGGAGUUUUGGACUUUUUUUUCCAGAAGCCAUCUGGAUUUCUCACCUUAUUGGAUGAAGAAAGUCAAAUGAUUUGGUCAGUGGAAUCAAAUUUUCCAAAAAAGCUACAAAGUCUCCUAGAAUCCUCAAACACAAAUGCGGUGUACUCCCCCAUGAAGGAUGGGAAUGGGAAUGUUGCCCUCAAAGACCACGGUACAGCCUUCACCAUCAUGCACUACGCAGGAAGGGUAAUGUAUGAUGUUGUUGGGGCGAUUGAAAAAAAUAAAGACUCCCUUUCACAGAAUCUUCUAUUUGUAAUGAAAACUAGUGAAAAUGUCGUGAUCAAUCAUUUGUUCCAGUCGAAAUUGUCACAAACAGGAUCCCUCGUAUCUGCCUAUCCUUCCUUUAAAUUCCGAGGACAUAAGUCUGCCCUGCUCAGUAAGAAAAUGACAGCUUCUUCAAUUAUUGGAGAAAACAAGAAUUAUCUAGAACUUAGUAAGUUAUUAAAAAAGAAAGGAACUUCUACAUUUCUUCAAAGAUUGGAACGAGGAGAUCCAGUCACCAUAGCAUCACAACUCAGGAAAUCACUAACGGAUAUUAUUGGAAAACUUCAGAAGUGCACUCCACACUUCAUUCAUUGCAUCAGGCCCAAUAACUCAAAGCUGCCAGAUACUUUUGAUAAUUUUUACGUGUCUGCUCAGCUACAAUAUAUUGGGGUCCUGGAGAUGGUGAAGAUCUUCCGAUAUGGAUACCCUGUUCGCCUUUCCUUCUCGGAUUUCCUGUCAAGGUAUAAGCCACUGGCUGAUACAUUCCUGCGUGAGAAGAAGGAACAGUCAGCUGCCGAGCGAUGUCGACUUGUUCUCCAGCAGUGUAAAUUACAAGGCUGGCAGAUGGGAGUCCGAAAAGUGUUUCUAAAAUACUGGCAUGCUGACCAACUCAAUGAUUUGUGCCUACAGUUGCAGAGAAAAAUUAUAACCUGCCAAAAAGUUAUCAGAGGAUUUUUAGCACGCCAGCACCUGCUUCAGAAAAUGAGCAUCAGACAACAAGAGGUGACUUCUAUCAAUAGCUUUCUGCAGAACACAGAGGACAUGGGGCUGAAAACCUACGAUGCCCUGGUCAUUCAGAAUGCUUCAGACAUUGCCCGGGAAAAUGACCGGCUCCGUAGUGAAAUGAACGCUCCCUACCAUAAAGAGAAGUUAGAGGUCAGGAACAUGCAAGAGGAAGGAAGCAAAAGAACCGAUGACAAGAGUGGACCCAGGCAUUUCCACCCCAGCUCCAUGUCAGUCUGCGCGGCCGUGGAUGGCCUGGGCCAGUGGCUCGUUGCCCCGUCCAUCUGGUCUCCUUCGCUGCACUCGGUGUUCAGCAUGGAUGACAGCAGCAGCCUCCCGUCUCCACGGAAACAGCCCCCGCCCAAGCCAAAGAGGGACCCCAACACCCGGCUGAGUGCUUCCUAUGAGGCCGUGAGCGCCUGUCUCUCCGCGGCCAGGGAAGCGGCCAACGAAGCUCUGGCCCGGCCCAGACCGCACAGCGACGACUACAGCACCAUGAAGAAGAUUCCUCCUCGAAAGCCCAAGCGCAGCCCCAACACCAAGCUCAGCGGCUCCUACGAGGAGAUAUCGGGGUCCCGGCCCGGGGACGCGAGGCCCGCGGGCGCCCCGGGGGCAGCAGCGCGCGUUCUGACCCCCGGGACUCCGCAGUGCGCGCUGCCCCCGGCCGCGCCUCCGGGUGACGAGGACGACAGCGAGCCUGUGUACAUCGAGAUGCUGGGGCACGCGGCCAGGCCCGAUAGCCCGGACCCCGGGGAGUCCGUGUACGAGGAGAUGAAGUGUUGCCUGCCCGACGACGGCGGCCCGGGCGCCGGCCCCUUCCUGCUCCACGGCGCAUCGCCGCCCCUGCUCCACCGCGCGCCGGAGGACGAGGCGACGGGGCCCCCAGGGGACGCGUGCGACAUCCCGCCGCCCUUCCCCAACCUGCUGCCGCACCGGCCGCCCCUGCUGGUGUUCCCCCCGACCCCCGUCACCUGCUCCCCCGCCUCCGACGAGUCGCCCCUGACACCCCUGGAGGUGAAGAAGCUGCCAGUCCUGGAGACCAACCUCAAGUACCCCGUGCAGUCGGAGGGGUCGAGCCCGCUGUCCCCGCAGUACUCCAAGAGCCAGAAGGGCGACGGCGACAGGCCCGCGUCCCCCGGCCUGGCGCUGUUCAACGGGUCCGGCCGAGCCUCCCCGCCGUCCACGCCGCCCCCGCCCCCGCCCGGGCCGCCCCCCGCGCCCUACAGGCCAUGCGCGCACUUGGCCUUCCCGCCGGAGCCCGCCCCGGUGAGCGCGGGGAAAGCGGGGCCGAGCGCAGAGGCGCCCAAGGUCCACCCAAAGCCAAACUCUGCCCCCGGGGCCGGGCCCUGCAGCUCCUUCCCCAAGAUCCCAUAUUCCCCCGUGAAGGCCACCAGGGCCGACGCCAGGAAGGCCGGCUCCAGUGCCUCGCCCCCCGCGCCCUACAGCCCUCCCAGCUCCAGGCCUCUCAGCAGCCCCCUGGACGAGCUUGCCAGCCUCUUCAACUCGGGGAGGAGUGUGCUUCGGAAAUCCGCGGCGGGAAGAAAAAUCAGGGAAGCCGAAGGUUUUGAAACUAACAUGAACAUAAGUAGCCGAGAUGACCCUAGUACGUCAGAAAUUACUUCCGAGACUCAAGACAGAAAUGCAAAUAACCAUGGAAUUCAGUUAUCUAAUUCACUAUCUAGUGCUAUAACUGCUGAAAAUGGAAAUUCCAUCUCAAAUGGUUUACCUGAAGAAGAUGGAUACUCACGGUUGUCUAUAAGUGGCACAGGGACUUCGACAUUUCAAAGACACAGGGACAGUCACACCACUCAGUCUCACAUUUCAGUUUCGCACCUACCAUGAUGAAAAUACAAGGGAAGGGACUCCCUCUUCCUCCCCUGCUUUGACAGCUGGACAAACACAUGUAAGAUGGGCUCAGUUAACCUACCUACGAUGGAUGCAGAGUGAGGGACAUAUAAUGGAAGGGACAACAAUUGACCUGGCUCCAUGGGGUGACAUUGGGCAGUAGUGGCUCCAUGCAGCACCAGCAGAAGAAUAUUAGUCGGAGAAGAACUUUGCUCAGAGCACGCCAGCCAUCAGCCCCUGAAUCCACCUCACCCACUCGCCAGACCUUUUUGUCGAAGUUCAUGUCCUUCCUUAGCCUUCCAAUGAAGCCUCUACCUGCCUGAGAUGUCCGAGGUAAUCCAUCAGCUGAGGCUCUCAGAGAAUGAAAGUGUGGCCCUGCAGGAACUCUUGGACUGGAGGAGAAAGCUCUGUGAGGAAGGACAAGACUGGCAGCAGAUCCUGCACCACGCUGAGCCCAGGGUGCCUCCCCCACCACCUUGCAAGAAGCCCAGCCUUCUGAAGAAGCCGGAAGGGGCCUCCUGCAACAGGCUGCCGUCUGAGCUCUGGGACACCACCAUUUGAUGUGGCCUGAACUGCAGACUUACAAAAUAGAACUGCCUACUGAUUCCGGGCUGCAACAACAGAAGGCUGCCUUCUGACAUGCGCUGGGGCUUCUCUCCACGCAUUUAGACAAAAAAAGCACAGGACACAGACACUAAAUAUAUGAGAUCCCGUGUGUGUGUGUGUGUGUGUGUGUGUGUGUUUGUGUGUGUGUGUGUGGGUUCUUUCUUAUCCAUCUUGUGGUGAUACACUCUGAUUUUCAAGCUCCUCAUUUACGGCUCUGUGCUACCCCUAGGUAGCAAGAGAGAGGCUGGGAAAAGUGUGGACGUGGCCAGAGAGAGAGAGUAGCGGAGGAAAGGAGCAAUCCAUGCACACUCUGUACAGUUGUUUUUCUACGGUUCAACAGUCUGUUUAUUGUACUUCCAAUGGUUUUAUUAUAAUACAGUAUACGGGACAUAUAUUUUAUUUCUUUGUAGCUAUUUGUGUUUUAUUGGUAUUAUAAACCUGAUAAUUAUUUACAUGUUUAUUACUGUAAUUUUAUAAAUUUAUGCAAUUGGUGGUGCUUCCUUUCUUCAAAAUACAGAUUUUAAAAAAUCAUUUCUAGAUUAUUUUUUUCCUCCACAGUCCUUUUUUUUCACCUAACGCACCUAAAUCUUGAAACUACAUUGUUGUUUUAGCUUCACCAGUGUCACCCCUUGCAAAACUAUGAAUUGAGCCCCAUGUUUUAGGUGUUACUCAUGGAUGAGGAGGCUGUUCUUUCCUAUGCCCUGUAUUUCUGGAUAAGUGGAUUGUGCACCCUUUAGUUAAAUUUCACCUCCCGACUUCAGCAUAGAUCACAGGAAAUCACAUGGCACAUGGUUAAACACGUAUGGCUUCAAAUCCAUAGCCGGUGGUGUAAAAUGAUCAUAUUCAUUCAAAGGCCUACACAGUACAAAUGAGCACGCUGCCAUGUACUGGUUUGAGCAGUAGGGGCUGCAUCGCACAGCGCUCGUCCCCCGGGACUUACACUGCAUGAUUCCCUCGCUGUAUAUCCUCAACCCUCCCAUAAUGCAAGGCCUUGUUCAUUGAUGUGCUUUCGUCGGCUGUCGGAAAGUUCUGAGCAGUGGCUCCAGACCACCUUGUCUUGCUACUUGGAACUUUUUAUUCAUACCAGCCUUUGAAAAGUUACUGUGCCAAUAAAGAGGUACAACUGUGUU